rnacentral:rRNA from 1 species
CCUACGGGAGGCAGCAGUAAGGAAUAUUGGACAAUGGACGCAAGUCUGAUCCAGCCAUGCCGCGUGAAGGAUUAAGGCCCUCUGGGUUGUAAACUUCUUUUAUAGGGGACGAAAAAAGGGCUUUCUAGCUCGACUGACGGUACCCUAUGAAUAAGCACCGGCUAACUCCGUGCCAGCAGCCGCGGUAAUACGGAGGGUGCAAGCGUUAUCCGGAUUCACUGGGUUUAAAGGGUGCGUAGGCGGGCAGUUAAGUCAGUGGUGAAAUCUUCGAGCUCAACUCGGAAACUGCCAUUGAUACUAUCUGUCUUGAAUAUUGUGGAGGUGAGCGGAAUAUGUCAUGUAGCGGUGAAAUGCUUAGAUAUGACAUAGAACACCAAUUGCGUAGGCAGCUCGCUACACAAAUAUUGACGCUGAGGCACGAAAGCGUGGGGAUCAAACAGGAUUAGAUACCCUGGUAGUCCACGCCCUAAACUAUGAUUACUCGACAUAUGCGAUACACUGUAUGUGUCUGAGCGAAAGCAUUAAGUAAUCCACCUGGGAAGUACGACCGCAAGGUUGAAACUCAAAGGAAUUGACGGCUUGGAGACGNGCGAGGACGACACGAGGGGAGGUUAGG